UUAUCAUCCUCCUCUUCUUCAUUGUCUACCAUCCCACCCAGAACUACCUUCCGACCAACCAACAACCAAAACCCCCACACCCUCGCUGCCCCUCCAGUCGACGAUGCCAGAGCUGCUCAUGAACCUAUCGGAUCUGCAAACAAACCUGCCGGAAAAACGAACCGGCAAACGAGUAUGCCGGUCGGUAAUCCAUCCGGUUAUCUUGAUUAAAUCUGGGAUCUGUUUUGAUUGCACCAUCAGGUGUCUCUGGUUAUCUUGUGAAGUGUUAUGUACAUAUUUUCUUUCUGUGAGAUAAUCCUCUUUGUAUACCAUUGAUUUUUGUGUUGGUGUGUUGAUGUAUUCUUGUUCUUCAAAAGUUGUUUUAGUAACUGAUU